ACUUUAGGCCAAAAUGAAUCUGGAGUUGCUGUCCAUAAUGAGAGAAUAUACUUAGUUGGCGGAUAUUCGAUUUGGACAAAUGAGCCUCUGGCUUGUAUCCAGGUACUCGAUGUAAGUAGAGAAGGCAAAGAAGAAGUUUUCUACGGGCCCAGACUCCCUUUUGCUUCCAGUGGAAUAGCAGCAUGCUUCCUCCCCGCUCCACAUUUCACAUGCCCUGACCUUCAGACUCUUCAGGUGCCUCAUCACAGGAUUGGCACCGUCUGAAAAGCCAGUGCUGCUUUAAUAACCGUCAUGAACAGGAGGAAAAAAAGCCUGACUUUUGGAUACUGGGCAUGAAAACACUCAGUGCUCAAUGCUUCCUUGCUCUGUUUUCUAGAUCUUAUUAUAUUCAGAUAAACAUAAGCAAAAAAUGAAGUUUUCUAAAACACACAUUACUGAAAACGCCUGUCACUCUUCUCUGCGUGUGUCAAUAUAUAGUAUGUGUGACUUUUACUGUGGUGUUAGCUUAGAGCCGGCUGAAUGGUCUAUGGGUCUUUAAAGCAUUCUUUAUACACCUUGUCUAAUGAGUGCUGUCCAGGACACUACACUCUUAGUGAGGCAGUUUAGUUCACAAGUACUGCCAUCAGUGAUCUUCAAAAACAUUGUUGGUACUUAAUCUCUUUAUUGAACCCUGGGUUUGCAAUUUUUCUGUUGAAAAUCCAACAUUAUACAAUACUGCUGUAGAAGCAGAGUCCUCGCCAUUAUGACAUCAUAAAUUUUUAAAUGCCAUAUUUUAUUCAAGGUAAUAUGAAUAACCGAAGUACACUGGAACAGCAGAUGCAGGACCCAGAUUUUUCACCUUAGUUGCUCUGUGACCUUGGCUUAACUUUACAGUGCUUCAGUUUUCUCACUUUUUAAGGAGGACAAUUAUUGAUUUACGUAUCAAUUCAGAAGAAUGUUGUGAGGAUUAGACAAAUACUCUGAAGUAUUUUGCCUAAGAAAAAAUAUCACUCAAAUAACAAGGUAUUUUACUGUCUUUAGAACUUUGUAAUUGAACCGGGAGAUUAUUUUUGAAGUUUAAAAAUUACUGGAUAGAACUUGGAAGACAUGCUAUGAGAUGAUUCUGAAAAGCGUGUGAAAGAGACAUACUAAUUAGAAAACAGGGAGUUUGCCAAAGCCAAAGAUUCCUACAGUUGUACAAACCCUUGCCUCAAAUUCAUUUGUUUAGUGAAAAGUGAUAUUUUAAAGCUCGAAAAAAAAUUAGUUGGACUAACUUUGGUAUCAUAAAGUGCUUUGACAUAAAUUUGAACCUAGAAUUGGUAGUUCUAAUAAAAGUUUUUCCACUUUGUUAAAGGUUAUGUCAAUCUUCAGCACUUGUGGGAUUCUUCUCCAUCACCAAUACAUAUUACUACCAUUUUUAAUAAUGCAUAAAGAAUUUUUUCUGCUAAGUUUUUGGAUUUGCUUUGUCUGUAACAAAAAGUUAAAAAAUUAAACAACUCAAUAAUCUUAUUUGAACGUAAAUUCCAUAACUAUAAUGUGAGUUCUCCCCCUUUUUCUAAUCUUGUUUUAUAAGUCACCUUUCUUAAAAGGAAGAUUUCACUUUUUUUUCCUUGGUAUAGUUUAAGCAUUCAGCAAUCCUUGGCUUAUAGGAAACUGUCAUUUUGUUCAUGUAGCCACUUUUAGUAAGCAGAAGUGGAUAAAAAUAUUGAAAUCACUAACUUUAUAUAUUAUAUAAUACCUAAAACACUUAUUUUAAAUAUGUAUUAAAUAUCAAUAUAUUAAAAAUAAAUAUAUAAUUUUUGGCUGUUCAGAUUAAGGGGGGAGGGGAGACUAGGGUAAGAAAAAGUGGUAAAAUUUUAAAAGAAAAGAUUUUAAGUUUAGUCAAAAAACCGUAGAGGAGUAUUUGUAUAGUUCUGAAAAUUGAUAGUUGAUAUUUAGAAGGAAAACAGAGUCUCUUUGUAAGGUAUAAACCAUCUAAAUUUUUAAAAAUUUAUAUAAAAUUUAUAUAAAAACUUAUAGUGUGAGGAGAGUGGAUUCCAACAUUUCAGAAAUCUUUCCAACAAGGACCUAAACAAUUAUUUCAGAUUUACUAAAAUUUCUACUUGACACACAGAUUUCUUCAGGAAUUUUACUUUAUAAAACAAUCUAUUUUUAAUCUCAGAUUCUAUUCCCAAUUAUUAAAAGGGAAAUGGUCUUGAAGUGAACUUGACUGAUAAAUGGAAAGGCAGCCUGAGAUUAUUCUAAUUUGUGAAAACUUCUAACUAUUUAGAACAAAUCAGUAUAUACUAUCAGACCUUUCCUUGUAUAGUAUUACUCAGUUAUAAUUGUAUAACAGUAAUAAUACUAUAAAAUUGAAGUCAGAAUUUUUAUAUAAAUUAUACAUAAUUUCCAGAAACUUAUAACUGUAAACCAAGAAUAGCAUCCUAAGUACAGCAAACCCUUCCCAACAAAGAAAAUAUCCAGAUCACUUAGAAUCUGAUCCUGUCCCUCAAAUUACCAAUCAUAAGAGCUAAUAAGAAAAACUCGAGAACAAUGGUUGGUCAUAAAAACCAAAGUCCACCGAAACUAUUCAAAUACAUGUUUUCUACUAUAGUGAACUAUUCCACAGUAAUACAUCUUCCAUUUGCACUCUUCAAAGACCAUAUUGUAUUUGUAUGUUAAUUUCAAUUUCCAUAAAACCAUGAAACUUAAAACAAUUUAAAUAUUACUUCAAGAUUGUACUUUAAAAAAGAAAAAGCAGUAACAGAUAUUAGCAGUGUUCUUACUCUAGGAGGAAAAGUCAGAAAAGACAUGAAUCUCUAAAAUAAUAGGUAUGUAAAACACAGUAAAAUUCCUUAGAUCUUUAAGAGCAAAAUGCCAAUUUGUUAUUUUUAGGGUAUUUUCCACACCAUUUCUCUCUGUAUUUUCCUCACAGUGUAGCCAUAUGUAUGUUGUAUACCCUCAGCCAUUAAAAUAGCUGAAAACUUACCUUUCUUUUGUUCAGGCAGAGUAUAAAAGCAACAGGAGUAAAUAAGAUAAAAAAUAUUCCUCUAGGUAACAUGGUUCGUUUUUAUUUAGCUUUUCAAAGAGUCAAUCUGUCAUAAAGAGGAAGUUGAAUAAUCACAAGUGCAGUGCAAGCUGAAUAUAUGCAUUUUUAUUAUAUCUCAUUACUUUGUACACAAAUAAUUUAAAAUGUGUGUAUAAAAUAGAAAUGCUCAGAAUUUUUCUAAAAGCAUAAUUCACAAGUGCAAUGAACUGGGUAACUAUCUUCACACCAAAAACUUCAAUAAGCAGAAGUUGGUCUGUUCUAAUCAUUUGAUACUGAUUUUGGUAAACUGAACAAUAUAGUUUAUCACAGAAUCAAAAUAUAAAUCUCAUAUCUUACAUCAAAUAUGUGAAAGAAUAUACUAUUUUGCUAGUUCCCCAACUGUUUUACACAAACAGAGCCUAUUAUUUAUAGUAGCAUACUCUCCACUUGACUGACAACGCAAUAUUUUUAACCCUAGGAGGAGGAGGCAGGAGAUCAGCUUUUGGAAGAUAUAAGGUUUAUGUAAAAAAAAGUAUGAAUCAAAACCCAGUGGUUUAGAACAGAUAACACAGUUUUUGGUGAAGUUUCUAUGAUAUCUGCCUUUUAUCUCUGAAAAAAAGUGUUAAGUUGAUGCGCAGAACUUAGAGAAAGUAGUUUUCUUAAAGGUUUUUCCCAACUGUAACAGCUUGUCAAGUUCUUAUAUGAUUAUAUAAUCCUAAAAAUAAAAACUGCCAAGAUUCUGUGAAUGUACAUGGAAAGGAGUCCAUGUAAUUAGUUAUAAACAGUAGUUUUAAAGAUUUGUGAUGAAGUGCGGAAGAUAAAAAUAACAAUGUGUAGUGAAGAUACACACCUAACAACCCACAAAUAAUUUUUUUUACUUACCCGAAAAAACAAAAAAGUCAAAUAUGCUUAGUAAGAAAAUAUAAUAUGCUAGGGGUAAGGAAAGAUGUAAAAGUUUAUACUGUGAAACUCUUCCAGUACAAAUGCACUGAAUACUGAAUGAUUUUGUACAGGGACAAUACACCCAUGUUGUCUUCUCCCCUAUGAAAACCUAAUUAAAUGUUCAAUUGAAAUUUAAAUCAUAACCAAAUCUGAGUGUCUAAUAAAAGUCCUUUUGAUCA